AUACCUUUCUCGGCCUUUUGGCUAAGAUCAAGUGUAGUAUCUGUUCUUAUCAGUUUAAUAUCUGAUAAAUGGUAACCUACGGGUUCCCUGGGUGAACCUCUAUAGGUCUUACCUAUAUGUUUGCCCUCUGAUAUUAAUUUUUUUAUAGGGAAAGGACCUUAAAUUGUAGCUUGAUACUUGGGGUUCCUUUUGUGUCACCCUUAUUUUGCACUUCCAUGAGGGUUUGGCACACCCGCC
rnacentral:snRNA from 1 species